AUAGGAAGAAGGGGGGAACGACAUUAUUCAUGCAGUUUCCAUUUUCUUGACAUCUAUACAUUCUAUUUUCUUGGUCCAUCUUGUUCUCCUCCCAUCGCCUCCCUCCAAUUUUGAGGCCACCAAGAAUUAUUUCUCUAGGGAACCUAGCCAAUCUGUUUUAUGGUCCCUACGAGCAUGCGUACCACUGUCCUAUUUAGUGUCUUCAUCCCCUGAGAUGAUACUUUUCCUGCAAGUGCUCCCUCCCUUUUUUUCCAUCUCGAUAAGGCCACGUACACAGGUGUAAUUUCGGGACGUUUUUUUCGUAUUUUCGGAGACCCGCCUAAUGCGAAUACGAGUGGGGGAACAUCUAAAACGAAAAAAAAUCUAAUAAAGGGUCGUAUAUAUUAUUAGGGACCACCGAUCUUCGCGAAUUCUCGUCGGUGCCAGCCUUUAAACGUAGUGGAAUUGUUAGGUUGAAGGUGGAUCAGUUGGAGGUUUUCUUGGGUAUUUUAAGAGGUUUUUUUGGAGAUUCCCCCACUCUGUAUGGUUUAAAAAUACUAGAAAAUUGCCUAAAAUAAGAGUUUUUUUGAAUUUAAUUACUGGUCUUUUUAGUGGCAUCAUUUAUCAAACUGAUACUUUUCCUGGAAGUGUCCUAUCUUCUAUGUUGAUGAGACUACUUGCAGGUGUAAUAUUAGACGUUUUUUUUGGCUUUUUUGGACCCCCCUAAUAGACUAGGAAUAGAGGAACAUCUAAGAAAAUUAAAUAAAGGGUAGUAUAUAUUAUUAGGAACCAUCAAUCUUUACCAAAUUCUUUGAUAAGAUGGACUUAGACGUAGUGGAAUUGGUAUGUUUCAGGAGGAUCAGCUAGAGGUUUUCUUGGAUAUUUUAAGAGGUUUUUUUGAGAUUCCCCUUCUUCCUAUGGGUUAAAAAUACUAGAAAAUUCUCUAAAAUAAAUUUUUUGGAAUUGAAUUACUGGUCUAUUUAGUGUUUUUCUCCCUCAAAUAUCAGUUUUCCUGGAAGUGUCCCCUCUUCUAUCUCGAUAAGGCCACUUGCGGGUGUCCUUUUGGUUGUUUUGGUCCCUCUAAUGCGACUAGGAAUAGGAGAACAUGUAAAAAAAGUCAAAUAAAGUGUAGUAUAUAUUAUUAGGAUCCACUAAUCUUUAUCUAUUCUUAUUAGGGAGGGCCUUUUUGUAUAGAGGAAUUUGUAAGAUAAAGCUUCAUUGAAUCUCCAAACUUUUCAAUAGGCCUCAACUGUAAUAGGCAUACAUUAGAUAAAUCAGGCACCUUUUUUCCUAAGCUUUUAAUGCCUAUAUCUAGGAUUUUUUUUCUUUAUUUUUAUUAGGUAUUUUAAAUAGGCCCCAUAUCAGAUUACCCUGUAAUACUAAGCAUUUGCUUGAGAUUCCAGCGCUUAAGAGGCUCUGAACCUAGGGCCUAUAUCAAAUUCUAUUUAUAAAAGUACACUUAAGAGGCCUCAAAUGGGUAGUUGGAACCUCCAUUACGUUGAGCUGAACACAGAAAUUGAAUGCGAUUUUAUAAGAGGGAAGAAAACUUAGAAGACCUCUAGCAAAACGUUUAAGGCCUAAUAGGGCCUUAUUAAGAAAAUAUUAAAAUUAUAUGCGAAAUAAGCCUAAAUUUUUACAAGAAUUUGCAAUUUAUUAAGAAUUAAUUAAUCAACUAGGCUCUAUUUUAGAAAUAAUAUAGUUUAAAACGCUUAUUUGGGCCCACUAAAUCCUAUUGUAUAAAACACAGAGCUUAAAACUAUUAUAAUAUAACCCCAAAUAACAGAACCUACUAGACUAGGGCCCUACACCUUUCAUUGUAGAGUAACUACUGCAUUUAAUUCUACAAACUAAGCCCUAUUGAAGGCAUUAGAACUAAUGUAUUUCUCUUAGGGCCUGGUGUUCUUGUAAAGCCUGUUGGAUUCUUCAGAAUGUAGUAGGCCCUAGCAGAAAAACAGCAGGUAUUACAAUUACUUUAAAAGUACCAGUUAGGGCCUACACCUGUUAGGAAUAAGAUGUCAUUUCAAGCCACUAAAUAAUAACAAACUAUAAACUGUGAAGCCUUAAACUAUAUCCACGAAAACUGAAUUUUAUUGAGCUAAUACAUAAAUAUGGCCCUACCCAUAGCUUAAACGCAGUUUAAACUUCUAAAAAGUGUAGUUUAUAGCCUAAAUUUAUAGCUUAGAAAUACAGUUUAGAGUCUCCAAAAAGAUUUUGUAGUAAUAAAAGUUGAACAGAAAAGACUCUUAUAUAAGCACUAAAACUACGGCAUUAAUCUACUAAAUUCUCAAUAUAAGCAUUACACUACUGAGGCCUUAGCAUAGGCAUUAAAGUAUCAAAUCAUCACUGUAAACACUACAUUACUAAGGCUUUACUGAAGGUACCAUGGUGUUGAAGAUUUAAUACAGGCCCUACUUCUAUACUGAGCUUCUAUACAGGCCCUACUUCUAUACUGAGCUUCUAUACAGGCCCUACUUCUAUACUGAGCUUCUAUAUAUAGGCAUUAAUCUUACUGCAUGUAGACUUUAUUACAGGCCCUACACUAUAAUAAAGUCAUUUCACUAUACACAUUGAGUUCUUACAUAACUUUUAGCGUGUAAGGCCUUAUUAAGCAAGAAAAUUUUGCUAAAAAUGAAAGAAGAGGCCCCAAAUUUCUAUAAUUUAAUAUAAAGUUAGUGUAGGGCCUUACAGAUUUAUUAAUUAAAUUAAAUUGCUGCGUGUCAUUUCGAUGUUUUCCCUCCUGUAGGCUCGAAGGUGGCGUAGAGAAAAAAUUAAAAAAAAAAAAAUCAAAUUAAAUCGAGUCGUUACGUAAUAUUUAAAUUAAGUAAACGAAAGCGAAAGUGUUUACGCUUUAGCUUCAAAUUCUAUUGGUCGAUUUUUAAAAAAAACGAAAUUGAAACAUUUCGCGAUCGGCCAAUAGGAAGCGAAUUUUCUAAUUAUCGUAUCUCCUGGCUCCGCCUGGCGAUUGGUCGAAGAUGCUUUCGGAGGCGGGGACAACGUGACGUCGGGGGUGACAGCGAUUGGGUGAGGAGUGUCGCCAGUUACAGUGGCGCCCUCGAUACUGCGGCAUUAACACAAGGUUACUCAGACGAUUUUUGUGUAAAAAUUUUGACAUCAAAAUCGGGAAGUGACGGAUCGUUUCAAGUAAUAUCACGUUCCAGAAUGGGCGAGUCUAUGCUGUAUUUGAUAGCAAAG